UCAUUCGGACUGUAGGCUGCAACUCGCCUACACGAAGCUGGAAUCGCUAGUAAUCGCGGAUCAGCACGCCGCGGUGAAUACGUUCCCGGGCCUUGUACACACCGCCCGUCACACCAUGAGAGUCUGUAACACCCAAAGCCGGUGGGAUAACCUUUAUAGGAGUCAGCCGUCUAAGGUAGGACAGAUGAUUAGGGUGAAGUCGUAACAAGGUACC
rnacentral:rRNA from 1 species